rnacentral:tRNA from 2 species
GCCCAAGUGGCGGAAUGGUAGACGCAGGGGAUUCAAAAUCCCCCGCCUUAACGGGUGUGCCGGUUCGAGUCCGGCCUUGGGUACCA